rnacentral:rRNA from 1 species
GAUGAACGCUGGCGGCGUGCUUAACACAUGCGAGUCGAACGAGAAGUGGAGACGGAAACCUUCGGGCGGAAGACUUUAUUUCGAGUGGCGGACGGGUGAGUAACGCGUGGGUAACCUGCCUCAUACAGGGGGAUAACAGUUGGAAACGACUGUUAAUACCGCAUAAGACCACAGCACCGCAUGGUGCGGGGGUAAAAACUCCGGUGGUAUGAGAUGGACCCGCGUUCGAUUAGCCAGUUGGCGGGGUAACGGCCCACCAAAGCGACGAUCGAUAGCCGAUCUGAGAGGAUGACCGGCCACAUUGGGACUGAGACACGGCCCAAACUCCUACGGGAGGCAGCAGUGGGGAAUAUUGCACAAUGGGGGAAACCCUGAUGCAGCGACGCCGCGUGAGUGAAGAAGUAUUUCGGUAUGUAAAGCUCUAUCAGCAGGGAAGAAAAUGACGGUACCUGAGUAAGAAGCCCCGGCUAACUACGUG